UACGGGGGGGGCAAGCGUUGUUCGGAAUUACUGGGCGUAAAGGGCUCGUAGGCGGCCAACUAAGUCAGACGUGAAAUCCCUCGGCUUAACCGGGGAACUGCAUCUGAUACUGGAUGGCUUGAGUUCGGGAGAGGGAUGCGGAAUUCCAGGUGUAGCGGUGAAAUGCGUAGAUAUCUGGAGGAACACCGGUGGCGAAGGCGGCAUCCUGGACCGAAAUUGACGCUGAGGCGCGAAAGCCAGGGGAGCAAACGGG
rnacentral:rRNA from 1 species